rnacentral:lncRNA from 1 species
GUGCAUAACUAAUAAACCUUUACUAACAAUUAACCAUAAAUCCCUGAAUUAUAUUUUUUCCCUUUUUUUUGAGCAGGGAAUAGCUAAAAAAGAUCUAGCACUUGCUGCAAUGAAAGAGCAAUGUGUGACAUCCUGCCAUAAGCCAAGCCUCCUACAUAGACUGCGCUAAAGAAAAAGACGAUAAUCAAAAUUCAGAAUACUGCAAACAAAAUGAUAUACCAAGGAGCAUCCCAAACAAAAGAUGGAAUCAUCAUAACAAAACAGAAACUAUCAAGAGCCUUGCUAUUAGCAAGUGAUUCAAAUCCCAUGAGACGAACCAUCCUGUUUUUCUAUGGAGAAGCGCGCACACUCCAUUCCAAGACUUCAGUCCUGGCACAGACAAUGGUGGAACAACCCAUCCGGACACUAGGAAUGAUGCCCCAUUCCGACUUCCCACAGGAAAUCCCAUCAGAAUUUGAAUCAUUGGUAGAAAGAUAAAAAUUUGACCAUAUAGGAAGAAAAAGUACUUCAUCCUACGAUGUUCCCAAACAAUCAAAACCAGAAUUUUCCAGGAUUUUACCUCAUCCAACAACCAAAUGUACUCAAGAAACAAUCAACCAGAAAAUUAUGCAGACCAAACAAGUUGGUAGAGCCCUUAAUCCCUCUUGAAUAAUGUAAGUAACUACAGUACAAGCACCUUCCAUAAGAACAAACAAACUGGUCUGUGAAAUUCAUUCCACCAACAAAACUGAAAUGCUUCGUGUUGCUGCUAUUUAUAUGGUAGAGACCCCCC